AUGGGAACGCGAAGAACCUUACCUAGACUUGACAUCUCCUGAAUAGUGUAGAGAUACAUGAAGCCCUUCGGGGCAGGAAGACAGGUGGUGCAUGGUUGUCGUCAGCUCGUGUCGUGAGAUGUUGGGUUAAGUCCCGCAACGAGCGCAACCUUAUCCUUGUUGCCAGCGGUUAGGCCGGGAACUCAAAGGAGACUGCCAGUGAUAAAACUGGAGGAAGGUGGGAUGACGUCAAGUCAUCAUGGCCCUUACGAGUAGGGCUACACACGUGCUACAAUGGCGCAUACAAAGAGAAGCGACCUCGCGAGAGCAAGCGGACCUCAUAAAGUGCGUCGUAGUCCGGAUUGGAGUCUGCAACUCGACUCCAUGAAGUCGGAAUCGCUAGUAAUCGU
rnacentral:rRNA from 1 species